AACAAGAUCUUCCUAGUGAUGACCCCCUCCCUCCUCUUUUCUGAUUGAGGAAGAUUCUAGUAUAAAUACCACAUCUCUGUAUUAGCAUUUUCUAAAACUUCUCAAAUGGGGGGGGGGUGCCUGAGUGGCUCAGUCUGCCUUCAGCCCGGGUCAUGAUCUCCAGCUCCUGGGAUCCAGACCUGAGUCAGGCUCCCUGCUCAGUGGGGAGUCUGCUUUUCCCUCUUCCUGUCCCUCUCCCCACUCCCUGCUCAUGCUCUCUCUCUCAAAUAAACAAAUAAAAUAAUCUUUAAAAAACCUUCUGAAAUAUGACCAAAUUCCAAUCACCUUUCUGGUCCAUGCCUUGCCCUCUCCAGGACUUCUGACCUGAGGGGAUCAGCCUCUCACCUCCAGGAACUCUGGCCCCUCCCCCAAGCUGUGGGACUCUCAAGGGUCAACUCCUCUGGAGAGCAGGAGUGUUAAGUGAGGAGGAAAUCCCCCUCCCAGCAGGAAAACCAGCCAUUUUUAUUACGGAUCCUAUCACAAUGUAAGGGCUGGUACUUCUGUGACUGAGCUAAUCCUGUCACCGUGUAAAUCAAUAGGAAACCCACAAGGGAUGAUUUGAUUUAGGAUGUUCAUUUUGGGAAGCUGGUCUUCCUAUAACACUGAAGCCAAGACAGUUGCCUGGGCACUUCCACAAUAAAUGCAAAGUUUAGCCUGAAAGGACCAGAUCGGUUAAUAAAAUAAAUUCAGAUUCCCACCAAAUCAAAAUUCAGAUGCAUGUUAGGCUCCUCGGUUCAGUGGGCUGAAUCCCUUAAUCUACCGAAUUAUUAUGGAAAAACCCCUAUCUCUGCCUGUCAAAAUCACUGCUGUCUUGGGGGGAGCCUCUUGGGAAGGACAAGUUGCUUCAUAAUAGCUAAGAUUAUGUGCAGUGUACCAUUAUUUUGAAGACGGUCACAUACUUGAGGAAGUACAACACAGGAUAUGGGACAGAGCCAAGACACAGCCCAGGUGACAGGGGCCAGAAAGGUGACAGGGAUCGCCCAGAUGUGUUGCUGGUGGAGCCCCGCUGUCGACAAGGACAGCAAUGUGCCCGAGAUCACGCAGAACGAAGUGGACAGCUUGGGGAUUCACCUGUACCCCCUGCCUCCCAAGGUGGUCUGGAGCCUCGGGGCUGAAUCCGUGGGUUUCUCCUGCGCACUCACUGAACCCGGUUCAUCUGCCAGCGGUCUCGCCCCAGUUAAAGUGCCUCCUCCUGGACCGGGCCAUGACUCUCCCUUUCCGCGCGGUUUCUUUCUCUUAGAACCCAAAGCCCUUGCAAGCUCACCAUCUCACCGCGGGAUGAGCAAAGACACCCUUAGAGGAGAUGAAACUCGACCUGGAGAAUGAGGCCUCCAGGAUGCCCGACGGGUGGGAGGGCGCUGGGGCCUCGGCCCACCAGUCUGGACUCACCUGAGCUGCCCCGGCGGCCCUCGGGGCUCCCGGUAGAACGCGCAGGGCCAAGGCCGCCGCUCGGGGCCGCCCGGGUCUGUCUGUCCCAAGAGCCCCAAAAGUCCGCGAGAAGUUCCCCGGUGGGGGGCGUUCCGGGCCUCCCGCGCCGCCCAGCCCGCGGCUUGCGCCCGUCCCGGCGCGGGCCGCNNNNNNNNNNNNNNNNNNNNNNNNNNNNNNNNNNNNNNNNNNNNNNNNNNNNNNN
ensembl:lincRNA